UACGAAGGGGGCUAGCGUUGCUCGGAAUCACUGGGCGUAAAGGGUGCGUAGGCGGAUCGUUAAGUCGGGGGUGAAAUCCUGGAGCUCAACUCCAGAACUGCCUUCGAUACUGGCGAUCGUUGAGUCCGAAGAGGUGAGUGGAACUCCUAGUGUAGAGGUGGAAUUCGUAGUAUAGUUAGGAAGAACACCAGUGGCGAAGGCGG
rnacentral:rRNA from 1 species